rnacentral:rRNA from 1 species
AUGUAAAAUUUAAAAGGUCGAACAGACCUAACUAGUUAACUUCUCCACCAACUAUAAAUUUUAAUCCAACAUCGAGGUCGCAAUCCCUUUUCUUGAUAAGAACUCUAAAAAAGAUUACGCUGUUAUCCCUAAGGUAAUUCAAUCUUUUAAUCUAAAACUCAGGAUCAUAAUUUCAAAAAUAAAUGUUUAAAUAUAAAAAAAGUUUUUUUAAUUUUUCUAUCACCCCAACAAAAUACUUACAAACAAAGUCAAUUUUUUUUACUUUAAAUUUAACCAAACCUAUAAAUAUAAAACUCUAUAGGGUCUUCUCGUCUUCCACAAAAAUUUAAGCUUUUUCACUUAAAAAUAAAAUUCAAAUAAAUUUCAAAAGAGACAGAAAUUCUUUCAUCAAACCUUUCAUACAAGCUUUCAAUUAAAAAACUAGUGAUUAUGCUACCUUUGCACGGUCAAAAUACCGCGGCCAUUUAAUUUUUUCAUU